GUCUAUGGCCAAGCCACCCUGAAAGUGCCCGAUAUCGUCUGAUCUUGGAAAGUUAGCGGGAUUGGGUCUCAUCAGUACUUCGAUGGGAGAAAUCAGGCUGAUACACU
rnacentral:rRNA from 1 species